rnacentral:sRNA from 1 species
AUGGACCUAGUAACAAUUUUAGGGCGGCUUCACCCUGUUACACAGAUCGACCUGUGCCCAUUUACUACAGUGCGAGCGUCUGUUCUUGUCAUAGAUGGUGGCCAUGGUCUCGACACUGCACCCAUUAUCGCUAUGUUACCCGUGUUUACUAUAAGUACAGCAAGAGGUGUUGUCCCGGAUACACAGGAAGUGAUUGUUCACAGCCACGGUGGAACUUGUGUAGCUCCAAAUGUUUGUAGGUGUCCUCCCGGAUAUGGAGGAAAUUCGUGCCAAACCCCUGUCUGUAAUCCUCCAUGCCUAAACGGUGGAACAUGUGCAUCACCACCAAGUACAUGUCAUUGUAUACUGAGUAAAUACGAAGGUCCCCAGUGUCAAAAGCCAAUAUGCAAUCCACCAUGCGCGAACAAUGGAACCUGUGUAUCACCCUCAACAUGCUCUUGUUUACAGACUUACACGGGUGGACGCUGUGAAAAACUGGAUAUCAAUAAUAUUCCCACCAUCACAAAGGCCUCUGCAUUUUUGGCUAAUAUAGAGAGGACUGGAGAAAAAAGGGAACUGUAUCGGUUCAUGACAGACUCGUCAGAACCAAACUCAACGGAAAUAGACAAAUUGUGGUUAAGUGAGAAAGACUACAAUUACGUGAAUGCUGACUUUACUGCAAUAUAUGUUCCUGAGGGGAAAUAUGAAUUACCAGACUAUGUCGAAAACUAUACGUUUGGGAUAGUUGAAGGGAAAAUGCGUCUGACGUUGACCGUCAUUGCUGUGAAUGGCGGCUUUAGAAAAUUAGUGGCACCGACCUUUACUGUCAUGGACCCGUUUAUUGGACAACCCGCGGAAAAGUCGAUGAUGUUUCGCUUUGACUUCAGGAAACCGGUACACUGCCUCUUUGAUGAUAAUCCCUGUUCGAAGAUACCGUUCAAUGUCACAAACGAUGUAACAAAAAGUGCAAUAAAGUUUUACUGGGAUGGAUGGGAUGAUGUUCUUUCUGGAAUAGGCCACUACAAAAUUGAAGAGUUUUUUCUACAGCCAAAUCCAAACAAUAAUUUAAAUCUAAACGAACCCGAUCCGUGGAGUCCAAUGAAUGUAUUCACAUUUCUCGAAUCUUCGCGAAACUUUACGCGCGUUCCUGCUCAGCCUGGUAUGUAUUCGUAUAUCUUAAAUGUAAUCGAUAGAGCAAACAAUACACAAUAUGCAAGAUCGCUGGUUUUAUACGACCCCAAGUCUUCAAUAACAACAUAUGAUACGUCACCGAUGAUUGCAACAAGUGCAGCAGAAGAAACAAAUUACAAAUGGCAAAAUAAUCUGACCAAUCCGAUCUCUGUUUCUUGGAAGAGUCAUUUCCGGAACGAUUUUCUUGAAAGCAACAAGCUAUUACGGCCGGUUACACCCUAUAAAUACCAUAAUUUCUAUGUUAACUUUCAAAAGGCUGUGCCGGAUGAUCUAGAGGACAAAGACGGCAAGAGAACACUAAAAGGAAUAACAAAUGCACAUGGGGUAGUAAAGUUCCAGUAUACAUAUCGUCAUUCAAAUCAAGGCAAUGAUCCACCUGAUGAUUGGAAAGACCCAACAGAUAAUUUUAUGUCUCAAACGGCUUCGUUUAAUGUCAUCAAACAAAAUGGCGACUCUCUUAACGUGUGGGUAAAAGCUAUUGACAUUUUAGGCAAUGAAAAGAUUGAUAUGAUGCAAAUAUACUUUGACGAAACGCCCCCUGAUAACUUAGAAGAAAUCAUUUUUAUAAAGAAUAUAGAAAACUCAACGUUUCCUUUUUCAAGUCGAUUAAUUGUCGACACCCGUGAUACUGACAGUGGCAUUUAUGGAAUUAAGUAUAGGUUUACGUCUAACAACACAGGCGCUGUGUUCAAAAGUGAUUUCAUUCCGGGAAAUAAAUCUAACGUAGCACUCUCCUUGAAAGAAGGGUACAUGGACCAAAUGGGGGACUACUUUUACUACAGUCAUUAUCUGGAGGUUGACAAUUGCUGGAUGGUGGUUACUAAAGACGCCUUUAAAAACGAAUUUGUCAAUUUGGAGCUGAUCGUUUACAACAGAGCGUUAGUAUCAACCAGAAAGACCUAUAUGAUUACCGACCUUGGAUCCCUUAACGGAAUCGAUGAAUACUCUGGGCCAACGAACCUGCAUGUUGAAACAACGUAUUCUAACGCUGUUCGCUUGAGGUGGACUGUAUCACCAACCUGCUACGAAAAGACAAAAAUUACGGUAUCCGGUGUAUCUAAAGACGGGAAAAGAUUUUUGCGAUCUAUACACAGGGACAGAGAUUAUUUGGACGUAAACGGACUGGAAGCGGAAACGACCUAUAAUUUGUCAUUUGUUACAGAAUAUGGUGAUCAAAAAAGUGACCCGAUAUUUUUAACUUUCCAUACAAUAGAAUCACCGGCUGCUUUGACAGCAGGUGGAAUAGCUGGAAUAUCCACAGUAAUAGUUUUCUUACUGGCGAUCAUUAUUGCUGGAGUAAUAAUGUGGAGGACAGGGCGGCUGUCAGUUGCAAAACAGGGAAUGCAGAGAAGAAUGACUGUCGUCCGGAACAGGAUCCAACAACAAAUAUCGUCUCGUUUAGUACCAUAUGAGGAUCAAGAUGAUAUAUACCUUUAUGGUCAGAUGGAGGUGAAUAAGUCAGAUGGCUGGGUCAUCCCACAUGUAUGUAUUGUGCUCGAGUCCCUUUUUACAAGUGGAAAGUUUGCAGAUAUAUAUAAAAUAAGAUAUCAACCAAAGAAGUGUGAUUCUGGAAGGAAUGCCUUUGUGGCGAAAGUUUUGAAAUCUGGUGCCUCCGAAGAAGAUCGAAUAAUUGGGCCAUAUAUGGUCCUUGAAUUUUGUGAAGUUGGCCAGCUCAACUCUUGGUUACAUCAACAAAAGAAUACAGCGAACGAAGAAACAUCGGAACAGCUUUGCAGAAUUUGCUACGGAAUAUGUAAAGGAAUGCUGCAUUUAGAGAGUAGAAAGCUGGUACACAGGAGACUAGCAGCUAGGAAUGUUCUUUUAACCAGUGAACUGGAGCCUAAAAUUUACGGAUUUUGUCCUCAGCAACAGGAAGCUGAAGGUGAAAACAAAGAUGAUGAUGGUGAUGUUAAGGAAGAUAAGAGUCGUAUACCUGUGAAAUGGACAGCUCCAGAGUGCUUGGUAACGAUGAAACACGCCACACCAAAAAGUGAUGUCUGGUCUUUUGGAGUAGUUCUAUCGGAGAUAUUUAGUUUUGGAGAAAUUCCUUAUCCAAGUAUUCGGAGCAGAGAUGUACAGGCUCAUCUACGAAACGGAAACCGAAUGGAUAAACCCGAAUUUGCUAAUGAUUUCUUUUACGACAUAAUGAAGCAAUGCUGGAAAAUGAAGCCAAAGCAACGCCCAUCUUUCCGCGACAUGACAGCUGAUAUUGGGAAAACUUUCAACUCCGCACCCUCCGACGAUUUCUAUUACUACUCGGAGAAACACUGAUUGUUUACAGUAGUCACGUGAUUUCAGUACUUCUUGUCAUUGGCCUUGUGUAGAAACUGCAGGCAUCAAACUCUUUAGUUUUGCUUUUUUUAACUUACGCGAAUACGUUUUAAUGAAUUGUUUUAUAUUUAUUUAGAUUUUAUGUACAAUAUCUGAUCGUAUACGUUCAAAUGGACAAUACAAAAGUACAUUAAUGCCUAAUAGAGAUAUCAUUGACCAUCCAUUUACAAUUAUUAAGGAAAGAUCGAAGCACUUGAAAAAAUUCAGAAAUUGCCUCCAUGAUUUACUUAGUUAUUACCAGUUAUUAUAGAAGUAAAAUAUAUCUGCCUUUAAAAAUACAUGUUUUAAAAUGUCCAGCUAUUCAAUUUAC